rnacentral:rRNA from 1 species
CGGCAGGCUUAACACAUGCAAGUCGAGGGGUAAGUUCCUACUUGUAGGAAACACGACCGGCGCACGGGUGAGUAACGCGUAUGCAACCUGCCUCUAACUGGGGCAUAGCGCGAAGAAAUUCGGAUUAAUUUCCCAUAUUAUUCAAUGAUCGCAUGAUGAUUGAAUGAAAGCUCCGGCGGUUAGAGAUGGGCAUGCGGGUCAUUAGCUUGUUGGUGAGGUAACGGCUCACCAAGGCUGCGAUGACUAGGGGGCCCGAGAGGGUGAUCCCCCACACUGGUACUGAGACACGGACCAGACUUCUACGGAAGGCAGCAGUGAGGAAUAUUGGGCAAUGGAGGCAACUCUGACCCAGCCAUGCCGCGUGCAGGAUGACGUGCCUAUGGGUUGUACACUGCUUUUCUGAGAGAAGAAUCCCCCCGACUCCUCGGGGGUUGCCGGCAUCUCACGAAUACGCCUCGGCUACCUCCGUGCCAGCAGCCGCGGUAAUACGGAGGAUGCCAGCGUUAUCCGGAUUCCUCGGGUUUACAGGGUGCGUACGCGGGACAGCCCGUCACCGGUGAAAGCCUGCACCUCACCUGUGGAACUGCCAUUG